CCUACGGGUGGCAGCCGUGAGGAAUAUUGGUCAAUGGCCGAGAGGCUGAACCAGCCAAGUCGCGUGAGGGAAGCCGGCCCUACGGGUUGUAAACCUCUUUUGUCGGGGAGCAAAGCGAACCACGUGUGGUACAUUGAGAGUACCCGAAGAAAAAGCAUCGGCUAACUCCGUGCCAGCAGCCGCGGUAAUACGGAGGAUGCGAGCGUUAUCCGGAUUUAUUGGGUUUAAAGGGUGCGCAGGCGGAGGUGCAAGUCAGCGGUCAAAUUGCGGGGCUCAACCCCGUACUGCCGUUGAAACUGGCAGUCUCGAGUUGGAGAGAAGUAUGCGGAAUGCGCGGUGUAGCGGUGAAAUGCAUAGAUAGCGCGCAGAACUCCGAUUGCGAAGGCAGCAUGCCGGCUCCACACUGACGCUGAGGCACGAAAGCGUGGGUAUCGAACAGGAUUAGAUACCCUAGUAGUC
rnacentral:rRNA from 1 species